AGAUGCAGAGAGAGAUUUUUAUGAAAUUUCAAAAUGAAAAAGUUCUCCUCUCAUCACACGACAUGUGUCAAAGGGAGUUUAAAAAAUAAAACAAAAAACUCCUUACCAGCCCUCUCAACAUGUAUUAUUAGAAGAAGAAAAUAUACAAUCUCCUUCUUCUCCAAACCAUUCUUUCUCGAGGUGCAUAAAAACAAAACCCCAUAUUUUGAAAAAA
rnacentral:lncRNA from 1 species